rnacentral:lncRNA from 1 species
AUGUCUAAUGCACAUGCCUCCUACUUGUGCACACAUGGCAUUUCUGCUUAUUGGAAAUCCGAAUUGUCAUCUACGCUGAAAACGAAGAUGUUUUCUUUAAAUGUAGAUGAGGCAACAGAUGGAAACAUGGACAGGAUUCUGAAUGUUCUUGUUCGGUACUAUGAUGAAGAUGUGGGAAAAGUGGCAACCCAGCAUCUAGCCUCGAGGAAACUGAAUAUUGCAGAUGCCUUAACAAUCACAAACACAUUGAAAGAUAUUCUCCAGUCAUAUAGCCUGAACUGGAAUCAGGUUGUUGGUAUACUGUUGGAUAACUGCAGUGUGAUGAGAGGGAAAAAGUCUGGAGUAGAGACACUAGUCAGAAGAGAAAAUCCAUCACUGCUGGAUGUCAGCGGAGACACUGUCCAUAUGGUCUCGAAUGCAGCCAAGGCCCUUUUAAAUCCUUUCCAGGGAUUUGUGGAACAAUUUUGCUCUGAUGUAUACCAUGACAUUGAAAAAUCACCCAAACAGAAAGAAGUUUUUUCUGAGUUUCAGUCCUUACUUCAUUUGGAGAAUAAGAGCCUAAUACGUUCCAUCAGCAGCAGGUUCCUGCAAAUGUUGGAUGUGUGCAACAGAAUACGGGAGCUUAUGGAUCCAUUGACUGUGCACUUCUACAGCGUCCUGUCUUCUCAUGAUCAACACAAACACAGAUGGCUCCUGAACCAGCUUCUUGAUAAGCAUGCAGUUACAUCUGAUGAGAAGGCCAGGAUAAUUUGUCUGCAACAGCAAAUGGCAAAAUCUGCAAGGAUCGGAAGUGAUGUCAACAAAAAACGAAAGACACGCGUCUGUAUGCUUUUUUCAGAGUUCGACAAGCUCACAACCAUUAUUGAUUUGUAUCGAGGACUGUACUUCCAACUUUUCAGGUGUUCCUGAAGAAGUUGCAACAUGAAAAGCCCAUGAUUCAUGUGCUGCAUGCUGAAAUGCUGCUACUGGUUAGGGAACUUCUCUCCAAAUUUAUGAAAUUCCUUUGAGUGCAAAGGGCUUGUUGAAGCUUAAUGUUCACCAGAGAGACCUGCAGUACACUGACA